rnacentral:tRNA from 1 species
GUCCCUGUACCGCAAUGGAUAGCGCGUUGGACUUCUUUUCUAAAGGUUGUGGGUUCGAAUCCCACCUGGGAUG